rnacentral:lncRNA from 1 species
CCUAGAGCCGCUUGCUGUGCCGGCCAGGGGGACGGCAGCGUUCCUGCUCACCUGAUUUAUUAUCUCUGCUCAGCACACAGGGAAGGGGAUUCUUCACGGGGAGGAAAGCUGGCAGCUCAGAGCAGUCCCCUGGAAGCAGCCAGCGCUUGGUGUGAGCGUUCAUUCAAAGGAGCAGGGAGAGAAAGGAAAAAGCUGUAGUAGGGAAAGAGGAAGGUUAAAAAAAGCAGACACCUCCGAGGCGCUUGUGAAGCGGGAACGCAGCAAGGCAGUCGGUAUUUCUGGUCUGAGGCUGGGACAGAGACCCACGGAGCUGAUGCGAGGGGAGUUUUGCAUAUUCCGAAAAGUAAACAGAAGAGUCAGCCUUGUUUUUUUGCAGAAUUACAGGAACCAGAGAUGGAAAAGACCUAUUAACUCAUCUUUCCGUUCCCCUCCAGGGUAGAACAGGAUUGCUCCCUGGAGGAGAUUAUUUUUAGCACUCUGUUGAGCACAGUUUUUGAUGUCUCAUGAGAUGGGGGUUUCUUUUCCAGGGAUUUAGAUGUAAGAAUGAUAAACCAGGUUCCGCCAAAGGAAGGCUUGACCCAGAGAUGAAACGAGGAUCAAAGCUUUGCUGUGAGGUUCAAAAAUGUUUGCCUGCAUGUUUUCCUCUCUCUGUAACGUGUUUCUGCAUCUCUCUACAGCAUGCUUUGCCUGGGAAGGAAGCAGAGGCAGCGAAGCCCCGGCUCUCCAGGGAUUUUUGCUCCUACAGAAAUGGAGAAACGCGACGAUUUCUCUGGCAGAAGCUUCACACGGGCAUCCUGGGGACGCUCGGUUGGGCCAUUGCGUUGGUGGGGAGAAAAAGAGGAAUGGCACAUCUGCUAGGUGACCGACACGUGUCCCCGGUGCCCUGUAGGCUCAGUAGGAGGUGAACUAAGGACAGAGCAGCUUUCGGAGCCCCCCUCCUGCCCACAGCCCAUGGGUGUCGUGGAGGUAUCAGCAAGCAAGGCAAGCCCAGGGCAUGGGUAGAGCACUGGAUGGGGUUUCAGCCACAAGGGAAGCCUGCUCAAAGCAGAGCUGGUCUGGAACACGGUUAUUAGGUUUGGAGGAUGGAGAGCUCAUUUUACAAGGGUAGACAGAAUUUGCUUGCUUAAUCAAGAAAAACAGCCUGUGGAGGAGAUUAUGCUUGAGAUUAAUAGAUAUACCAGGGACAGAAGCAUGAAGGAAGAUGAAAUUUUGUAAUGCAGAUGUGAAUAAAUGUAGGCUUUACUUCA